AGUCUUCACGCUGGAAGCUUUCCGGGGAGGGUCAGUAAUGGCCACUGAGCCCUCUAUCGGCUUAUUGGCUGAGCUCAUUGAUGAAGAAACCUUGAGUUCGUCACUUUCUCUUCUCUAAUUGCUGAAGUGGCCAUCAUUGAAGAUGACAGAGCAUUUCUGAAGGACACAUGGGAAUCAUUAACCAGCCCAAUAAAAUGAUCUAUUUAUGUAGAGUUCCUUGGACAGCAGAGGGAAGGACCCCACCUUCAUUGUUCCCCUCUCCUGUCCCCACCUACCAAAAUACAACAACCCCAUCUUCAGACAGAAGGCAUGCUGUCUCAUGGAGGCUCACAAUUCCAGCCCUUAGGACUAUCCUGAGGUUAGACUCAGGGCACAACCAUCAGACGAAGUGGGAGGAAGAAACAUUAACUUCAACAGCUGUUUCUUGACCCCGGCUGUCAGUCUUCCCAAGAAUAAAUUUUGGAGAGUCCUAUUUGAAACAAAGAGGGAGUUUUGGGGGAGAGAAAAGUUGGUUGGUUCCAGGGCAGCCGCCCAAAGAAGCAGGGAACAAGAUGUUUGCAGUUACCACGCAGCCUGCAAGCCUCUGCCGGGUGCAGGCAAGGAGCAAAGUAACUUGAAAGCUCCCCUCUCGGCGCCCUGUGCCUGCAGCUUCCCCCCCUAACGCGCGCCCAGAUCCAGCGCCGGUGGUAAGAGCCGAAGCUCGACUACAGUAAUUCCCCAGCUCGGGCGGCUUGAAACUGCUCGGGCUGAAUAGCAUUUGCUGUUCCGUCCUGUGACAGCCUCCCGCCGCCGCUGCCGCGCUCCCUGCAAAGCAGCUCUCAUUAUCCCGGAAGUUGUGCUGACACAGUCUCGCUGCCACCAGAAGUUUGUCAACAUCAAACUUCUCCUGUGUGGGGUACGUUCACCUUCCACGAGUAUUUAAUCGAGCCAACAAGCAAACAAACAAACCCAAAUAAACCUGCCCGUGAUGUCA